UACAGAGGGGGCAAGCGUUGUUCGGAAUUACUGGGCGUAAAGGGCGCGUAGGCGGCCUGUUAAGUCGAACGUGAAAUCCCCGGGCUCAACCCGGGAACUGCGUCCGAUACUGGCAGGCUUGAAUCCGGGAGAGGGAUGCGGAAUUCCAGGUGUAGCGGUGAAAUUCGUAGAUAUCGGGAGGAACACCGGUGGCGAAGGCAGCCAUCUGGACCGACACUGACGCUGAGGCGCGAAAGCGUGGGGAGCAAACAGG
rnacentral:rRNA from 1 species